AUGGGUGUCGCCUGCAGCAACCGCCGGCACCCAGGCCAUGUCACUGCCAUACGUCUGCAGGGCUUGGGACUCGUCGGCACCAUCUGCCCGCAGCUCGGUAAUCUGACCCGCCUCCACACCCUCAGUCUUUCAUCCAACAACUUAGAAGGUAAGAUCCCGGGUAGCCUCAGUGGUUUUAUAUCGCUUCGUGCCUUGGAUGUGAGGAUGAACUACCUUUUUGGCUCCAUGCCUGCUUCUUUGGGUCUCCUAUCAAAGCUCACAUCACGCAGCGUUAGCCAUAACAAUCUGACUAGUGAUAUUCCAAUGUCAUUCUCGAACCUCACAGCCCUCACUAACCUUAGCAUGAGUAGCAACCACUUCCAUGGCCAAAUCCCGAGCUGGCCCGACAACCUGACAUCACUGACACACUUAUAA
rnacentral:rRNA from 1 species